ACACUUUUUAAGGGCUGGCUUUGUGCAGGCUGACACAGAAAGAGGAGACUACAGAGAGCGAGAGAGUGUAAGCAGGGCAGCUACAGCCUCUGCUCCUGCGUCAGGAUGGAGAAAGCAGUGACCCAUUGGUUAUGGACCAGCUGUGUGCACUUACCCUUCUUGUCACCAUGUUUUCACUGAAGAAUCUGGAGCUCUAGGCAUGCUGACAGAAAGUGAGACUGUGUUUCUAUGUGUGAAAUAUGAGGAGCGAAGGAGAAGAAAAGAGUGAAGAAGAGAGAAGAUAGGAGAGGGAGGAAGAGACAAGCAGGGAGCCUGGCAAAAAAUACUUCACCAUUAGGACUGAAUUAGGCUUCGUGAUUCAUCCUCUUCAAUUGAGAGACACACAUUUCAAAUGUCGUAGGAUGCUCCAUCUCACGUCUGGUAGCCGUUUAUACUGUGUAGCACUACACCUUUAUACUGUGUGCCAAAUUCACUAAAGAAAAUGGUGUGAGUGCUGUUUGGGAGGAGGAAGUGUGUGAAAAACAGAGAGGAAAGUUGCUCCAUCUACACCCAAAUAUAUGAAUGUACCACUAAUCUGCUUGUGUAACAUUGAUUAAAAAGUGGCAGGUUGAACUGGUGGGUGUCGGUCCAGGAGUUGCUUGCUUGCUUGCUACUUCAUGGACGCCCUACAACUGCUGCUGACCUCUGACCUCAUGGGAAUCAAUCAGGAAGUCACAAAAAAAAUGAAGAAAAAUGAGAAUGAGAAAAACAAAACAAUAACAAGUACACAAGUGCUGCAAAGUGCAGGAAAAAGCUGUGGGACUCAGACAUGUGUGAUAGCAGGAUAAGGCGGGGGACCCACAUGGGGAGAAAUGUAUCAUAGAGGACGUCAUCAGCACCAAUGAAAGUCACGCAGCAUUCAGGGGUCAUUGCCAAGGCUGACGACAGAGUUAGAGAGACGAGAGAGAGAGAGAGAUCCUGGGUGUGACUAAGACACUCUGACCAUGGAAAAACAGUUUGCUGUCCUCCUUUCCUCCUCCAUAAUAACAUAAACACACGAGUCAGUCAGCCUGUUUGAGCGGAAAUGUUAGUCUUGAUAACGAAAUGAAAAUGUCUCUCCCUCUAUACGGCCUAUUGAGCUUCAACCCUCCGCCUUUUUUUUUAAGCAUGUCAAUACAAUAAUAAUACCUACCAAAACAUUUGCCUUGGGUGUAUCGUGGCCCCUGUCUUUUCCACUUGGUGCAUGUGUGUGUCUGUUGUAUACACAUAGGUCCUUUUAAUUUGUUUGAUGUCCCCUCCCAUCUGCCUCGUGGCUUUCCAUUCCGACUUGUAGGCUCGUCUUUCUAGG